rnacentral:rRNA from 1 species
CCUACGGGAGGCAGCAGUGAGGAAUAUUGGUCAAUGGGCGGGAGCCUGAACCAGCCAAGCCGCGUGAGGGAAGAAGGUACAGCGUAUCGUAAACCUCUUUUGUCAGGGAACAAAGGCGGGGACUAGUCCCCGGAUGAGGGUACCUGAAGAAAAAGCAUUGGCUAACUCCGGGCCAGCAGCCGCGGUAAUACGGAGGAUGCGAGCGUUAUCCGGAUUUAUGGGGGUUAAAGGGUGCGCAGGCGGCCUGUUAAGUUAGCGGUAAAAGCCCGGGGCUCAACCCCGGCGAGCCGUUGAAACUGGCGGGCUGGAGUUGGAGAGAGGUACGCGGAAUGCGCGGUGUAGCGGUGAAAUGCUUAGAUAUCGCGCAGAACCCCGAUUGCGAAGGCAGCGUACCGGCUCCACACUGACGCUGAGGCACGAAAGCGUGGGUAUCGAACAGGAUUAGAUACCCGGGUAGUC